AUGCAACCUCUUUCUCCAGCUCCCACACGCCCGGUGUUAUGUAAACGCACCUUCAGCCCCCACCACAGCCCCAGCGCGGCCCGGCCCCGGGGCCUGGCACAGCUCGGUGCCCAGAGAAGGGAGGCACGAGGAGGCAGAGGGGCCUCUGGCCUUGCAGAGACCCGGGAAGGGAAAGGCAACUGCAAGGCAGUUGCACAGCAUAAAAUGCAGCAGCAGAGCAAAGGUCAGACGGCAGGGAACCGCCUCGCCAAAGAGAGGGAGCAGAAAUGCCCAGUCCCGGGUCAUCUCCGUGCUGACCAUCGAGGAGGCGGCAGAAAGGAAUCGAGUGGAGGACCUGCACCACCAAAAUCAAGGAGUAAAUCAAGAGAGCAGACAACAUGGGAAUAACUGCAUGAAAUUCGGGUAGGCAGGGGCUGGAUCAAAAAGGGUUCUAAAGACCUAAUGAGGAGUUUGGACUUGAUUGUAAUGACAAAAUUACCUAAAGGAACAGUAGAGUGAUAUUCGAAAAUAGUGAUUUUUUUUUUUUUUUUAAUGCCAGGGAUCCGUUUGAGCAACCUUGUAAUUGGCUCCUACCAGAAGCAAUAGUUUUAAUCUAUUUUUCCUUUGUGUUCCUUUGGAAAGUAUUCUGCUGAGUUUUAAAGAGUUUGGAAACCAUUGUACUAGAAAAACUUAAAACUGUGUACAACUACUACGUAAGCAGCCUUGUGCAAUUUGGCGGGGCUUCCAGAAGCUCCCAGGGCUGUGCAAGUUCCUGGAGCAGUGCACUGUGGGAGAGGAGAGAGUGGUACAGGGAGGUGAUAAGGCACAG
rnacentral:lncRNA from 1 species